AAGCAAAUUCUGCUAAACAUUCCCAACUGAGGAAGUAGUUAGCCAUGCCAUUAAGAAUAUGCAGAUAGAAUUUAAUCUGGGGUUAAUUAUGAAAGUUAUGGUAUCCUUGUACCUAAGGGCUUGUUUGUUUGUUUUUUUUUAUUGCUCUGAGGCAGCCGUCAAGAUAAAGGUGCCAAUCAAGGUCCAAGGGAAUGGACAGUGAACAGAAGCUUGUUGCGAGAAAAUGAAAUGAUCAGAAUCAGACUUUGACCAGAUAAACUACUGUGGAGACCAUACUUGCUAAUUUUUGCAUGCAAAAGAUCAAAGCCUCCUAACUUUUUAAGGGAACUGUGCUGCCAAAGAUAUUCCAGGCCUGGCUCAAAACACUCUUUAAUUACUCAAACACAGGCCAUCUUCAGGCCCUCAGAUUUGCACCUAGUGGGACUGGACUACAAAUGCCACACCAUCUCUAGAAAGGACACUCUCUUCCAUGUCCAUUUUCAAUGUGGUCAUGAAAGAAAAUGGACAGAGACCCAUCCUACCAGUGGAACUAAGUACUGUCAAUUUGGCUAACCAAGGAUCUCAUUUCUCUUUCAGGUAAUGAGAUACUUGAUAUUCCUGUCCAAGAGGAUGUGGUAUCUACAUAUAGGAGGAAAGACCUACGUGUACAUGUGGUGGCUGAACCAUUUGAUUGUGGCUCUUCCUGUGUUCUAGGUCUGAGAAAGAGGGUCACCUGGCAAGGGACUGGCAGCAGCCUGACAUCAACAUUCAGCAAGAAACUGAGGUCCUUGGUCCAGCAGCCCAUGGGGAACUGGAUCCUCCCAACAAUUACUGACUGCAUCCCUGACCACUAGCCACUGGACGCCAGCAGCAUUGCCCAUGCCCUCCUCCACCUUGUCAGUCCAUGGUCACCGAAACUGUCUUCAGACAUCACCAAAAAGCCCUUGGGGAUGAAAUUAUCCUUGUCUGAGAACCACUAUUCUAGUCUAUCCUGACUGAUAAGGUCAGUUCUCUCUCUUCCUCACUGUCUGUAGUUCUCUUGGCAUAAAUGAAUUAUUUUGCCCUGACUGAAUGCUGGUGAAUCCUUCUUUAGCUGCUAGUCAUACCUAAAUUCUUUCUAAUAUAGGCUUUUUACCUCUUCGAAUGGAGUUCUGAUAUAGGAACUGGAAUAAUAUGAUGCUCUCAUGUUUCGGUGUAUGACCCACAUCCAGUUA